AGUGUACAGUUCGAGUGACUGCGAGAUCAUACGAUAAGAGUGCAGGCGUCCUACUUUCAAGUCGGCACGCCAAGUGCUUCACACAAUCCAUCUCACCCAUUUGUGCAUCACCGCGUGAGUCCCCCUUUGCGGGGAGGGCUUGCGUUUUCCACAUAAAACUUUGAUACAGUGUAGAAUGUUUAUUUUUGCGGUCACACGCAAUCAAUACAACUUUCAACAACGGAUCUCUUGGCUCUCGCAUCGAUGAAGAACGCAGCGAAAUGCGAUACGUAAUGUGAAUUGCAGAAUUCAGUGAAUCAUCGAAUCUUUGAACGCACCUUGCGCCCCUUGGCAUUCCGAGGGGCACACCCGUUUGAGUGUCGUGAAAUCCUCAAAACCCUUUUCUUUUGAUUCUUUUAUGGUCAGGGAAAAGGAUUUUUGGACUUGGAGGUUCAAUGCUUGCUUUCACUUUUGAAAGUGAGCUCCUCUCAAAUGAAUUAGUGGGGUCUGCUUGCUGAUCCUUGACGUGAUAAGAUGCUUCUACGUUUUGGAUUUGGCACUGUACCUUGGACGUCCGCUUCUAACUGUCUCAUGGACAGCGAUGGUGCUUUGGUCACCGCACAUCUCAUAUUGGCGGGAGGCUGGACCCACAAAAACCUUGACCUCAAAUCGGGUGAGACUACCCGCUGAACUUAAGCAUAUCAAUAAGCGG
rnacentral:sRNA from 1 species